CAGCAUGGAUCCCAUCUCCAGAAGCUUUUCCAUUAUCAAGAGCUGAAGUCGUGUGAAUGAUGCUGUUACGGGAUGUGAAGGAGUAACAUGGAGAUGCAUCUAAAGCCUCAUAAGGGGGAGUUCUACAACUUCCCCAGGGAUCUAGCUUGAUGACACUCUUCUCAAAUGACCAGGCCCAUCAUUUUCAGCCAUCUUGCCAUGAGCAACUAUGCACUUGAAGCCAUGGGAAUUCAGAAUGUGUAUCUUCCUCAAAGCUACUUGUGGGUUUCAUCACAUGGCUCUGCGUGGAGAGAUGACCUCAUCCCAGACUGCUUGCUUGUUCAGGUGGCUGCAGAAUCUUGCCAAGUUUUCUCUAGAACACU
ensembl:lincRNA Gm12510 predicted gene 12510